rnacentral:rRNA from 1 species
ACGGGGUGCAGCAGGCGCGAAAACUUUACCAUGCGGGCAACCGUGAUAAGGAAACCCCGAGUGCCAGCACAGGCUGGCUGUCCAUCAGUGUAAAGAGCUGGUGAAGAAAGGGCCGGGCAAGACCGGUGCCAGCCGCCGCGGUAAUACCGGCGGCUCGAGUGGUGGCCGCUAUUACUGGGCUUAAAGGGUCCGUAGCUUGAUAAUUGGGUCCCUUGAGAAAUCCGCCGGCUUAACCGGCGGGCGUUCAGGGGAAACUGGUUUUCUAGGGACCGGGAGAGGUGAGAGGUACUGCCGGGGUAGGAGUGAAAUCCUGUAAUCCCGGUGGGACCACCUAUGGCGAAGGCAUCUCACCAGAACGGGUCCGACAGUGAGGGACGAAAGCUGGGGGAGCAAACCGGAUUAGAUACCCGUGUAGUCC